CCUACGGGAGGCAGCAGCCGCGGUAAUUGCCCAAUCCUGAUUCAGGGAGGCAGUGACAAGAAAUAACAACUCUCAACUUUGUUGAGAAGUGUAAUGAGGAUAAUUUACAAACCUUACCGAAAGCAAUUGGAGGGCAAGUCUUGGUGCCAGCAGCCGCGGUAAU
rnacentral:rRNA from 1 species